GCUGGGCACAGUGGCACAUGCCUGUAAUCCCAGCAGCUCAGGAGGCUGAAGCAGGAGGAUCACAAGUUCAAAGCCAGCCUCAGCAACUGCAAGGUACUAAGCAACUCAGUGAGAUCCUGUCUCUA
rnacentral:sRNA from 1 species